UACGUAGGGAGCGAGCGUUAUCCGGAUUUAUUGGGUGUAAAGGGUGCGUAGACGGGAAAUCAAGUUAGUUGUGAAAUCCCUCGGCUUAACUGAGGAACUGCAACUAAAACUGAUUUUCUUGAGUACUGGAGAGGAAAGUGGAAUUCCUAGUGUAGCGGUGAAAUGCGUAGAUAUUAGGAGGAACACCAGUGGCGAAGGCGACUUUCUGGACAGAAACUGACGUUGAGGCACGAAAGUGUGGGGAGCAAACAGG
rnacentral:rRNA from 1 species